UCUCUAUGUAAACUGUAAUGAUAUUAAA
rnacentral:sRNA from 1 species